rnacentral:lncRNA from 1 species
CUGAAAGGUGCAGAACUUAACAUCCAGCAUAAAUAGAACAGAUGACUGGGGAUACAAGCAUCAUAAAGUCGCCCCAGGACAAGAACUCAUCACAGAGGAAGUAUUGGGGUGUUCACUGGAAGAACCAGGAUUUUAUGAAGCCCAAGUUUUGAAGGGAUUCUUCAACAAUGAACCUGAUUGCCCUGCUUCAGAGAGCUGAGUAUUGGUGGUGCAGCUGCAAUAAAUUUGUCUUCUACUCUUACAAGGCCAAAUGGGAAAUGUUUGGUCACUGUCUUCAGAUAACAGGGAGCAUAGCAUUUUCUUACAAGGACUGGAUGAGAGGUUUAUGGAAGGAUGCAAGAAAACAUCAACAACUAAACAAAUAAAAAAUCAACUACUUGGAAGUCCUAAGGCAAACAACCCAUGAAGAUAUAGUAUGAUCAUAAUAUUUCUUCUAGAGUCUAAAAAGACAGCCUCAAACUGUCAAAUUUCAUACUGCAAUUAGAAGUUGUUCACACAACUCCAUAUGAAGCUGAAUUAUAUUUAACCUGAAAAUAAAAUUAACUGAAUAUGUAGGCA